rnacentral:rRNA from 1 species
ACAUGCAGUCGAGCGAAUGGAUUAAGAGCUUGCUCUUAUGAAGUUAGCGGCGGACGGGUGAGUAACACGUGGGUAACCUGCCCAUAAGACUGGGAUAACUCCGGGAAACCGGGGCUAAUACCGGAUAACAUUUUGAACCGCAUGGUUCGAAAUUGAAAGGCGGCUUCGGCUGUCACUUAUGGAUGGACCCGCGUCGCAUUAGCUAGUUGGUGAGGUAACGGCUCACCAAGGCAACGAUGCGUAGCCGACCUGAGAGGGUGAUCGGCCACACUGGGACUGAGACACGGCCCAGACUCCUACGGGAGGCAGCAGUAGGGAAUCUUCCGCAAUGGACGAAAGUCUGACGGAGCAACGCCGCGUGAGUGAUGAAGGCUUUCGGGUCGUAAAACUCUGUUGUUAGGGAAGAACAAGUGCUAGUUGAAUAAGCUGGCACCUUGACGGUACCUAACCAGAAAGCCACGGCUAACUACGUGCCAGCAGCCGCGGUAAUACGUAGGUGGCAAGCGUUAUCCGGAAUUAUUGGGCGUAAAGCGCGCGCAGGUGGUUUCUUAAGUCUGAUGUGAAAGCCCACGGCUCAACCGUGGAGGGUCAUUGGAAACUGGGAGACUUGAGUGCAGAAGAGGAAAGUGGAAUUCCAUGUGUAGCGGUGAAAUGCGUA